CCUUUCCACACCUAAUGAGAUCACCUAUGUCGCUACCUCCUUAUCUAUUCCUGUCGCCUCCGACCGUCGCGCCUUCCUGUUUUGAGCUGUCGUCGGCGAAGAAGAAGGGGAAAGGGAUUAAGGCUUAUGAUCAGCAUUUGAAUAUGAGUCUUGGAGAUGUGGAAUAGAUCAUAACUACUGUGGAAAUUGACGAUGAGACUUAUGAAGAAAUGGUUCAGACCACCAAGCAAAUUGUGUCGUUUCUUUUUGUUCAAGGUGAUAGAGUUAUUUUAGUUUUUCCACCUUUGUGGAUAGCAUGACGACCCGAAGAAGGAUGUUUUGAUGAUGCACCAAAUCUGUCACCAACUGCAUCAGUUACUUCAUUUAAGAUUGUCUCGUGUUGAUUCAAUAUACCGAUACACAAGGGAGUUUGAAGCUGUGAUCCCUAUUUGAACCCCUCUCCAGUGCUAUUAGAAAAUAUCUAAAUUUGCUAGUGUAAGAAUAUCGACUCUCUUGUUUUAAGUAUAUCUUUGUUGCCAGAUUGUAGACAAGGUAUCUCAAUGUAAU